rnacentral:rRNA from 1 species
AGGAAAAGAAACCAACAGGGAUUGCCCCAGUAACGGCGAGUGAAGCGGCAACAGCUCGAAUUUGAAAUCUGGCCCUUCCGGGUCCGAAUUGUAAUCUGUAGAGGACGCUUUUGCGCGGUGCCUUCCGAGUUCCCUGGAACGGGACGCCACAGAGGGUGAGAGCCCCGUAUGGUCGGACACCAAGCCUCUAUAAAGCUCCUUCGACGAGUCGAGUAGCUUGGGAAUGCUGCUCUAAAUGGGAGGUAAACUUCUUCUAAAGCUAAAUACCGGCUAGAGACCGAUAGCGCACAAGUAGAGUGAUCGAAAGAUGAAAAGCACUUUGAAAAGAGGGUUAAACAGUACGUGAAAUUGUUGAAAGGGAAGCGCUUGUGACCAGACUUGCGGCUGAUCAUCACGGUUUCCGCUGGUGCACUCGGCCCGGCUCAGGCCAGCGUCGGUUGUCGUGGGGGGAAAAAGCUCUGGGAAUGUGGCUCUCCGGGGAGUGUUAUAGCCCUAUGAGAAUAUCCCCGCGGCGACCGAGGUCCGCGCCCUGCAAGGACGCUGGCGUAAUGGUCAUCAGCGACCCGUCUUGAAACACGGACCAAGGAGUCGAGGUUUUGCGCGAGUGUUCGGGUGGAAAGCCCCAGCGCGUAAUGAAAGUGAACGCAGGUGAGAGCGCUUCGGCGCAUCAUCGACCGAUCCUGAUGUUCUCGGAUGGAUUUGAGUAGGAGCGUAUCGGACCCGAAAGAUGGUGAACUAUGCCUGUAUAGGGUGAAGCCAGAGGAAACUCUGGUGGAGGCUCGCAGCGGUUCUGACGUGCAAAUCGAUCGUCAAAUAUGGGCAUGGGGGCGAAA